CCUACGGGCGGCAGCAGUGGGGAAUAUUGGACAAUGGGGGCAACCCUGAUCCAGCCAUGCCGCGUGUGUGAAGAAGGCCCUCGGGUUGUAAAGCACUUUCAGUGAGGAAGAACGCCUGGUGGUUAAUACCCAUCAGGAAAGACAUCACUCACAGAAGAAGCACCGGCUAACUCCGUGCCAGCAGCCGCGGUAAUACGGAGGGUGCGAGCGUUAAUCGGAAUUACUGGGCGUAAAGCGCGCGUAGGUGGCUUGAUAAGCCGGUUGUGAAAGCCCCGGGCUCAACCUGGGAACUGCAUCCGGAACUGUCAAGCUAGAGUGCAGGAGAGGAAGGUAGAAUUCCCGGUGUAGCGGUGAAAUGCGUAGAGAUCGGGAGGAAUACCAGUGGCGAAGGCGGCCUUCUGGACUGACACUGACACUGAGGUGCGAAAGCGUGGGUAGCAAACAGGAUUAGAUACCCUAGUAGUC
rnacentral:rRNA from 1 species